UACGUAGGGUGCGAGCGUUGUCCGGAAUUAUUGGGCGUAAAGGGCUCGUAGGCGGUUUGUCGCGUCGGGAGUGAAAACCUCGGGCUUAACUCGGGGCUUGCUUUCGAUACGGGCAGACUGGAGGUAUGCAGGGGAGAACGGAAUUCCUGGUGUAGCAGUGAAAUGCGCAGAUAUCAGGAGGAACACCGGUGGCGAAGGCGGUUCUCUGGGCAUGACCUGACGCUCAGGCGCGAAAGCUAGGGGAGCGAACAGG
rnacentral:rRNA from 1 species